GACGUAGGAGGCGAGCGUUGUCCGGAUUCAUUGGGCGUAAAGAGCUGCGUAGGCGGUUCCGUCAGUCGGGUGUGAAAACUCUGGGCUCAACCCAGAGACGCCACCCGAUACUGCGGGUGACUAGAGUCCGGUAGGGGAGUGGCGGAAUUCCUGGAUGUAGCGGUGAAUGCGCAGAUAGUCAGGAGGAACACCAACGGCGGAAGGCAGCACUCUGGGCCGGAGUACUGACGCUGGAGGA
rnacentral:rRNA from 1 species